ensembl:lncRNA
UUUUCCAUAUUGAUUUUUUUCACCCGUAUUUUUGAAUUAGACAUUGUAUUGUAUUGUGUUUUGUUUUAGAGUUGAAGGAGAUAUCUGUAAAAUUAAUGGAAAAUGUACUGGUAUGUUUUUUUUUUUUUUUUUUCUUACAGUGUUGUAAAUUUCUGUUUUCAUUUAUUUACUGUGAUUUUCAAUUAGUAAAUACUACAGGGAAGGGAUACAGUUUAGUUAAGAACAUACUAUCUGCCGACUGAUUGGUUGAUUUAUGUCUCAUACUUAAUUGAUUUCAGAAUCACCACAAAUGGUAAUUUUUAGGUGCUGAAUGAAGGUGAAGCUGUAAUGGCAUGUCCUCUUCUUUAAGGUGCAGGAGACACGAUUAAAGGCCUUUAUCAUUCUUCUGGCUGGAAAAAGACCUCAAUCUCGCGGUAUCUCCACUUUAAUCAAAUCCCUGCCUUUUCCUUGCCACAAAACUGUCACUGGCAGAAAAUAAGCCCUUCCUCAUCAAAGAGGGUCUUCAAUUGAUUUCCAGGAAAUGGAAAGCUACAUCCUAACCACAGUCAAUAGGGGAGUCGAGGAGAGGGGUGUAAUCAGGCCGAGAUCCGACUCCUCCACCUCGUCCCUGUCAGCUUUAAUAGGCUCUCCAAGAACCCAAUCUGCUCCCUCCAACAUACUCCCACAUCUCCUAAAAACAGGGCCCUCUACCCAUAGGCCCCAGGCCAUGUCCCCCUUAAUGAUAACUGAUCAUUCCGAAUGUCACACCAUGUUCAGGCUCAAACAUGACGAGUCCCCCGUGACAAUUUCUUAGCAUUCCUUAACUUGCCAAGCAUAUACUACAAAAAUUUGGACAUGUUGGUGUUUUAAGCAGAUUUUCAUUAGUGCAUCAUCUUGUUGAAUAUUAGAAACAUUACCAUUAGCAGCAAAUGAUCUGAUGUUAGUUUGCUAAUAUGCUAAUAUUUACUUAACUAUUUUCUCAAGUGAAAAGCCAGAACCACAAUAUCAAGGUCACAAAU